AUUGAACGCUGGCGGCAGGCUUAACACAUGCAAGUCGAGCGGGUACUUCGGUACUAGCGGCGCACGGGUGAGUAAUGCGUAGAUAUCUGCCCUAAAAUCUGGGAUAACGAUUGGAAACGGUCGCUAAUACUAGAUACGCCCUACGGGGGAAAGAUUUAUCGUUUUAGGAUGAUGUUACGUCGGAUUAGCUAGUUGGUGGGGUAAAUGCUUACCAAGGCUAUGAUCUGUAGCUGGUCUGAGAGGACGACCAGCCACACUGGGACUGAGACACGGCCCAGACUCCUACGGGAGGCAGCAGUGGGGAAUUUUGGACAAUGGGCGCAAGCCUGAUCCAGCCAUGCCGCGUGCAGGAUGAAGGCCUUCGGGUUGUAAACUGCUUUUGUACGGAACGAAAAGACUCUGGUUAAUACCUGGGGUCCAUGACGGUACCGUAAGAAUAAGCACCGGCUAACUACGUGCCAGCAGCCGCCGCCG
rnacentral:rRNA from 1 species